AACGAACGCUGGCGGCAGGCCUAACACAUGCAAGUCGAGCGCCCCCUUCAGAGGACAAGUUGGUUUUUGGUUUCGGGAGGUAACUUCCGGGGCUGGGUUUGAUUUUGUUUUCUGAUGGGGGAGCGGCGGACGGGUGAGUAACGCGUGGGAAUUUUCCUCAAGGUACGGAACAACUCAGGGAAACUUGGGCUAAUACCGUAUGAUGCAGAGAUGCCAAAGAUUUAUCGCCUUGGGAUAAGCCCGCGUCAGAUUAGGAGUUGGUGGGGUAACGGCCUACCAAGCCUGCGAUCUGUAGCUGGUCUGAGAGGACGAUCAGCCACACUGGGACUGAGACACGGCCCAGACUCCUACGGGAGGCAGCAGUGGGGAAUCUUGCGCAAUGGGCGAAAGCCUGACGCAGCCAUGCGCGUGAAUGAUGAAGUCUUAGAUUGUAAAGUUCUUUCGCCCGUGACGAUGAUGACGGUAACGGGAGAAGAAGCCCGGCUAACUUCGUGCC
rnacentral:rRNA from 1 species